CACCUCCUUCACAGCAGACAGGAUGCCAGCGAUCAGAGUCCCUCCCUCACCUGCCUGAGAGCUGCGAGGCCCUUAAAGCAGAGGCAGCAGCGUGACUGACAGCCAGUUGGUGAGAGAGCUUCAGGGGAGUUUCAUCAGAGCCGAGCUGCAAAGAAUACAGAGCGUUUGGGACAACAUGGCUCCAGUAGGCAUGGAUGGCGUUGCGGGCUGGGUUUCGUCCCCAGAAGUGGGCAUCAUCUUUUUGGUCGCCUUCCUCAUCCUAAGCAUCACUCUCCUCGCCGUAUGCACCCAAUGCAGAAAGAGCUUUGACCCGAACGACCCAAAGAAUAGAAAGGCCAAUGAGAACACAAACGGAGAAGGUCUCGACUUCCAGUUGACUUGGAGGGAUCACAAAGACAUGCCACCUUCCUCACUGAAAAGACCCCAAGCAACGAACGAGCCAGUCACCCUUUCACCCCAACAUUGAUGUCACAAGCACGCCUCAAGAAAACCUAAUUUCUCGGACAAGAAGAAAAAAAAAAACAAAAAAACAUAAUCUCGUCAUCCAGUUUUCCUGACCUGACAUUGGACCAAAUGGAUAAAUGGACAAAAAAGGGGAGACGGAGUGGGAGGAAGACCUGGGCCUGUCCUCGGGCGCACUAAGCUAGCAUCCAUCCAGCUAGCAUUUUCUCAUUAUGGCAGGCAUUUACUGAUUUGAGCAAUUUUUUUUAUGAAAGCCUUCCUUUGUUAAGUUAUUUGUGUAUCAGACAUCCAAUUUCUAUCUGCUCUUUGAUGUGAACAGAAAAUAUGUUUCUGGUAUUUACCUAUGUAUAUAGCUAGCAGAGCUAUUUCAAAAUAUGUUGCUUGAACAACAGUAUAUGUAAGUGUAAGAAUAUGCAACCGUGAUCAAUGGAAAGUAGCAAACCCCCUUUUUUUGCUUUAAAUUAACUUUUAUAAAAGUGGUUAGGUUGUCCAGUCUUUAAGCUAAAUCGUCUGUGAGUCAUUUUUAGACGCUGUUAGAAUCAUCGCGAGUACACAAUAUUCCUGUUUGGUGCUAUCUGCUAUCUUGUCAUGUAAUAUCUUAUUAAAAUAACUUUUCACAUG